CUUUUACCGUAGCAAUUAUUAAAUAGUACUAUUUUCCUCCACAAUACAUUCAAACAGAUGCCCCCAUUAUAGGCUUCAAAGGGCACUGCCGAACGUUUAAACCCCAGGGAAUAAAUAAACAAGAUCUAACCCAACCCCUAAUAUCUAAUACAAUGUGAGACUCCCAUCAGGAAAAUGUCCAGCAGUAAAAACUGCCUUGGACGUAAGCAAUACGCAAAUAACGAAAGAAACUAUAGAAGUGUGAUUCAGGUCAGCAAGUAAACAUAAGAGAUAAUUGGAACACAACAGAAACCUCUUGCAAAGACGGAACUAAUGAAGAGAAUACAUUGCUAUAGUUGCAAUAACUUAGAGAUGUGUGAGACAAGUAAAUGCCAAGAAUAGCUGGGUCAUCUUUACCUCGCAUCCGAUUCUGAACUGAAACUGAAACUUUCAAGGAAGGAGAUUCUAAGACAACAUUCUGUGGUAACGAGUCCCAUUUGGUGGCUCCCAUCCGCUUGAAAGCAUUUUGCUUUCACUCUUUGGAGAGCUACAGUUAUGUGGCUUUAUAUAAGACAAAAUUUUAAGUAAAUAUAAAACAUACAAGAAGUAUCCGUAUAUGCUACAACAACAACAACAACAACAACAACAACUACCCAGUAUAUUCCCACCAGGUGGGGUCUGGNNNNNNNNNNNNNNNNNNNNNNNNNNNNNNNNNNNNNNNNNNNNNNNNNNNNNNNNNNNNNNNNNNNNNNNNNNNNNNNNNNNNNNNNNNNNNNNNNNNNNNNNNNNNNNNNNNUACCCCUACCCAAAAGGGCAGAGAGGCUGCUUCCAUGCGACCCUCGGCGCAUAGGACAGAAUGAAAAGCUGCAUUGGAAAACAAAGACAAAAUUAGUAAUAUCCGUAUAUGCUACUAGCAUAUAAAUUUCUGCUCCGACUAGAAAACUCUUAGAAAGCAAUGGAUCUAAAUUAAAGGUAUGAAUGAAAUAGAAGAACUAGUUUCCAGAACUGUGCAACAGCUGCUGCCUUUCAGUGUACUACAACCAUUACAAGUCAGCAAGAUGACCCACCCAUCUAAUUUUCACCCAAUAAUUCAGUCUGGCUGAAUAGCUCUUCCUGAACAGGAACUUCUUUCAGUUGUUGUGAUGAUACGACGUCAGCAAUAGCUUUUUUAGCAGCCGUGGCCUGACCAUCAUCGACGGCAGUGUCUGCCCCAGAGGCAAGUUCAAUUUGCUCGUCAGAAGCAUCAUCAUCCAGCUUAGGAGGUGGAACAAAGAAAGGAAUUUUGCCUCUUUGCCAAUCAUGGAGAACCAUCUUGGCAGCAGUCAUAUAGUCAGGUUCACCUCCCUGGAUAGCACAAAUAAGCUUAUAUCUAUUACAGGCUAACACUAAUGUCUGUGGAUAGCCAUAAGCACAAAAGUAAAGCAAAGUCUACACCCCACAUAGUUGAAGGAUGUUAAGCACAUUGCUGAAUUGCAACCCAACCCAAUAUGUUAAUCACUAAACGUGCUGGUCACCAAUAAAGAUUUUAUUGCAAAUCUCCGUGGAAUAAAGGAAUAUGCACGUUCUUUAUCUGGUCUAACUAGGGAAGCAAAGAUGUUAAUCACUAAACGUGCUGGUCACCAAUAAAGAUUUUAUUGCAAAUCUCCGUGGAAUAAAGGAAUAUGCACGUUCUUUAUCUGGUCUAACUAGGGAAGCAAAGAUGUUAAUCACUAAACGUGCUGGUCACCAAUAAAGAUUUUAUUGCAAAUCUCCGUGGAAUAAAGGAAUAUGCACGUUCUUUAUCUGGUCUAACUAGGGAAGCAAAGAUGCAACAUCCACAUUGUUCUAUGUGUCCUAGGAUCUCUAAAGGAUACUGAACAAGAAAUGACCCAAAAAUAAAAAAUAAAAAGUGUACCAGUUUUAAGUAAUUGAAAAGAAAUGACCCAAAAAUAAAAAUAAAAAAUAAAAAGUGUACCAGUUUUAAGUAAUUGAAACAGAAAAGUUUCCAUGAUGUUUAAAAAAAAAAAAAAUUCCACCAAGUGUGACAUGACAAACUAGCUGUUCAACUGAGAAAAAAUGUACUUUUAUAAGAGAUGCUUAUUGUUUUAGUAAAAGUUUUCAUCACUUCUUUGGAUAUUCAUGCACCCUACAAUUAGAAGCUUAACAACAACAACAACAACAAGUACCCAAUAUAUUCCCACCAGGUGGGGUCUGGAAUUAGAAGCUUAACAGAAGAGGACAAUCUAACACCCCCCCCCCCCUUCCUCCUUGUUUACGGCUCUGAUAGUACUGUUCAAAGCAACAGCAUGAUUAUUCCCGCAUAAAGGAAUUUCUUCUCAACCUGAAAGAGCUACUUCACUAUCAACACCCGUUAAACCCUACUUAGUUCCGAACAUUUUGUCAAACAAUAACCCAGAAUAAUUGCUACAUAUACGUAUUCGUUUUGUUUUUUGAGAUGGCGUAUCCUUAUUCUUUGACUACCAAUUGUUCAGCUAGUGAGCUUCAUUUUGUCCUACAAGAACUGACGAACAAUUUAAAAAAACAUUUGAAGUUACUUGUCCCAUGAACUGAUGAACAUCAAACAAAAUACUUUUAAGUUAUCACUACCAGAGAGGUGAAUGGGGGUGUUCAGGUUACCUUCAGAAGUUUGCCUGUUGACUUGCAUAGCUGAAGAAGAAAAUCAUUAUCAUCAACCCUGGAAAUAUCACAAAAAUUAUUAAUUCAGCAGCGCAGCAAAGAUUCUGCAUAAUGAUUUUUUUGGGGUGUAAACAUAUUCUUGUUUUCCUUGGUGAAAUCCUUGACCUAUUGUAUAGAUAUAAAAAUAUGAUGAAGCAGAAAAUACGCUAUAUUCCACUCCUACCUAUAUGAGGAAUCAGGCUAAGCAAACAGAUGAAAAUCAAAAAGGAUUAGACGUCCCCCCAUGCUACGGUUCCCUGCGGUCCAAACCCGGUGCCGCUUUACUAAGGGAAUUUAGAAUCCUAAUUGAAUGGUAGAGAAAAUUUACCACUCCUUUAUCUUAUAAGCUCUUUGAAGAUGCUCCUUCUUAACACGAUUCAACACUUCACCGAUGUGUUCAGCAGCAUCCUGCAGGUUUGUCACUCGUACCUGAAGGCGACAGCCCAAAGGUUUAAGUAGUUUGAACUGUUAGUCAAAGAACCUCAUGCUUACAGCGAAGAGGAAAAGGACAUAUUUCAAGGAAUAGACAAAGAAAAUAUUCAUCAACUGAGAAAGGAGGAAAAGGAAUCUCUAAGGGAAGAUUAGGUUCAGAGAGAUCCUAUACAACACAAGAUGAUAAAUCUAUCACUAGUAAGACAAGUAAAUCCCGGUUCAGUGGUAUAUAUCCAACUGGCGAAAAAGUUAAAGCACAACUCUUAGCAGUUUUGGUCCUUCAGGUUCCAAAGUGGGGAAGGCCAGCAUCUAUUUAACAGCGCGACUGCAGUUUCUUUCUUUAUAUUUUCCUAUCCAAAAGUAUUCAAGAAUAAAUUCUUCCUACAUCAUAACUAUAUUAAGUGCUCAUUUGAAUGAUACGUAGAAGCGCUUUAAAAGCCAACAAUAAUCGCAAUCAGGAAAAAUAUAUCAAGUUACUUCAAAAUGCAAAAAUAAAUAGGAUGUACGGUCUCAAUUUCAUAUGAGAAUCCUUUUCGAGAAUUUUUCUCCAUUGAGUACCAUAACUUUUGUCAAGCAAGAUCAUAUAAGGAACAUCGAGUCACCUAUGCCUUAAUAGUCCUUUUUACAACAAACUCAUUAUAUCAGCCAGAGAAACUAAAAGUAAAGCUGUAGGUAAAAAUCGCAAAUCAAGCAAAGGUAGAAGACACAUACCACACCCUUCAAGACUAUAUCUGUUUCCGAAUCAUUAUUCUGAUAAACUACACCAGGACAGUCGAUCAAGAAGAUCCUCUUUGUGAGGGUAAUGUACUGCCAAACUUUCGUUUCUCCUGGGAUAGGAGCCACCUUGCAAACCUAAUUCCAAAAGAAGGGGAAAAGGUUAGCUCCACUCCCAAUAAAAAUGAAUAUGGUAGUUAGAAAAAUGAGCGUACUACUCAAAUUAACAUUGCAUUUCACAAUUCAGGAUAUGGCCUUUUAGACGCUAAGUACAGGUGAUACAAAAAGCAAUUGCCAUUAUCCCACGAGAAAACAAGUUUCCAUUAUUUAUAAUUUAGGGAGAUGGAGAAGGGAGAAGAAAAUUGAGCUCUAAAUUGUAUAAAUGUUUAGUACUCAUGAAUCCAGUCAGGAACAAAGACUAAGUUCACUGUUGAUUAUCCUGCAAUUGAUCUUUUUAGAAGCAACAUCACUCGACCAACAAAACUUAAGUCGGGAACAGCUUGAAUAGAAACACAAUUCUCAAGGAGGCAGAUGAGCUAUACAGGAAAAGCAACAAGCAUUACAGAAACAAAAUGAACAAAGCCGACACAACUGCCUAAAAGAGGCAGAGAAAUUAUGAAGGAAAAGCUUACAUUUUUUGUGCGCAGUGUAUUAAUAACUGAUGACUUGCCAACAUUGGGAUAACCUACAAAACCAACAGAGAUUGCUUGCUUGUCGCUCUUUAUUCGAGAAAACUGUCUCAAUACAGACAAAAGAGAACCCUGAAUGCAAAAUUGGAAAAGAAAAUAAGCUACAGAAAAAAGUUAUCAGAAAGGCGCAUAUGCACAUGCAUGCACAAUUGUCCACGUGAUUAGAAAUAUAGAAAGGAGAGAACCCUGAAUGCAAAAUGGAAAAGAAAAUAAGCUACAGAAAAAAGCACAUGCACAAUUAACCAUGUGUUCAGAAAUAUAGAAAGGAGCAUGAGCGAAGGCAUUAUUUACACAUCAAGUACUGUGUUUGUGAGUAUAUUUGUAUUUAGAGGUGAGGCAAGGUCAGGAGAUAUUGCGAGCAUACCUUUCCAAAGGACUUGGUGACACUUGCAUGAAAUGCCAGAGUUGGAUAUUCCUUAGAGAGUACUCUAAGCCAUCCUUUUGUUGCCCAAGCAGGGACCAAAUCACACUAUAUAGGCAGAAGAAAACAUCAACUGAUUCAAGUCCUGAAGUAAAGAUUAACAUCCAAAAAAGCAGAUUACAAAAUUUGUGUAGUAUAUUGAUAAUAAGGCAAACCUUAUUCAGCAAAAGGACCAUAUGUUUAUGCUUGCAAUUUUCUUUCAAAUGCUUCUCCAAAUGGUAGCAUCUUGUACCUCGGGGGUCUCUGGCAUCAAGAACCUGCAAAUCCACAUUAACCACAGUAAGCCAGGACAGCUAGCAUUAUCCCGUUCAUCUAAAAUAUCCUAAAUUCUCCUUAGCAGACAGAGAAAACUACAUCAGAACAUUACAUGUCCCAUAAGCAGCACACAGAUCGCAGGCAGAGAAGUAGAUUUUUUUCUUUUUGAUAAGUUAAAUAAUUUUAUCAAUAACAGGUAACUUUCCUGUAUAUAAGCCGCAUACCAGAAAGUAGAGAAUCUAAGUAACACGAUUCUCUAUGGAAAUGAAAUGAAAUUCAAUCUUCUAUAUUAGCUGGAGCUCAUGGGUGCACCAAUAACCAACAAGGAAAAAUCACAGCAGAAAGUUGUGCCCGGCAUGCAUGAUUAAGUGUGAUAGGGUUGGGUUUACACUUGGGUACAAGUGAAAAAUUGCACUUUUCACCAGGAAAGCUUUUAAUUGGAAGAAUAUCAACAACCAAUAACAUCCUCCGUAUUAGAAAUAACAUGGAUUUUAAAGCCACAAAACAAACCUGAACGACUACAUCAGAAGAGUCUAUGACUUUGUAAAGCUCGCCCCAAAUUCGUUUACUUUGUCCUUUCUCAAACAUUGUGUGCCUAACAAGAUCUCUGAAUUGGUGCGAGACUGUUUCAAGGUAUAAAUAAUGUAACAGAAGUUAUCUACCUGAGGAAGGAAGCUCUUUCGAAAUCCAAAGUUUGAGCCAUGGAGGUGCUACCACCAUGUUUGUCUUCAAAGGUAUCUGCAAAAACUCGGAACCAAAAUUUGUAGUGCAUAGGCACAAAAGGGGAAUCUUACAUGGAAGCCAUUAGCAAACCCCUCAUUUCAUACCUUGAGACACUUCAGCCUUCUUGGCUAGAGAAUCAUAAUCUAAUGCCAUAAGUUUGGGGCGUUUCCUCUUCGCUUUAGGUCCAAAAGCAUCAGCAAAAGGCGCGUUGUCAAGAAGAUGAACUCUUGCUUGCUUUAACAAAGAAAAAAGAGAACAAUAUUAGCAAACAGAAUGCAGAAUCAAGCAUGAGACCAGCAAGAAUUAGCCUCAAUUUGCUAAUUAUUAGUAUGUAUAUACUGUAUAUACAUACCUACAUACAUAUACAUAUACAUACACACACACAUAUGCGCGCGCGUCACAGGAAGCUCGCUGAUCAAAUACCAAUAUGUAUGAAUAUAAAAACGAUGCUCCAUUAAUCAGCGAGCCGUGAGGAGGUUCACAUUGAUUCAGUGAGAACAGAAGCUCAAGGAGAAAGCACACUCCAUACCUUCUGGUGAUCAUUUAAAAGGGACAUUGGCAACUUCCUUUCCUUUAAUAUGACAUUGUAAUUACUGGAAAGCCGACUUGAUAGCUCUUCUCUAAAGAAUUCCAGUUCCUUCUGGUUAACCACCCGAGUAUUCCCUGUAAAGUACCCGAAAACCAUAUCCUAAUUCGGUAAAAAUACACUUUCUUUGAAUCACAAGAAGCGAAAAGCAUGAAAUAUUUUACAUACCGAACCAACGGCGAUCUGGUUGUAUCCGAGUUGAUGGCAGUUCCUUUGAUUGUAAGUCGUGCUUAAUGAUUUUACCCUUAACGUCACGUUUUGGCCUGGUAUUGUACAUCUUGAGCCGCCGCACAGUGGCGGCACUACGGCCGUUUUUGGUUGCGCUGCCAUCUCUGUUGCUGUCUAAGGAAUGCUUUGGCUUUCCCGAUACGUUCGCCGACCUCUCCUUCGUCUUGGCCAUCUCCGUUUGAUGUUCCAAGAGCAAAUAUUAGGGGUUUUGGAGUCGGCGAAAAGCCUUAUACCCUGCUUUCCAACACUCAACUUUCGGACGGUUGGAGAGGGGGUUAACUAAAACUUGGAGAAGAUUUUGUUCUGAAAUUUACCCUAAGAUGCUCUAAUUUUGGCUUAUUUAUCUUUUGGCAUACAGACCUUUUAAAUUUUGCUUUUUUCUUUUUCGGGAUACCUUUGUAAUUUUGGACAUGUUCAAGGACCCGUUUGAUCAUAGAUUUUGCCAAAAUAUAUUUGGGUUUCCUUUUGCAAAUACAUACUUGUUCAUAAAUUUUAUCCAUAUUUUGGUGAAUUCCCAAAAUCUAAAUCCCAAAACCAGCUUUAGCCCAAAAUAUUAAUAUUUAUAUUUUUUAAAAAUUGCCCCAAACUUUUAUAUUUUACUAGUAUCCCGUGUUGCGCGUGUACCCCAAUACCAAGAGCAUAAACUUUUAAGAAUGACAUAAAGAUUAUUAGAAAAUAUUUUGAAAUAUAAAAAUAAAAGUUAAAUUAUAUUAGAACAUAAAUAUGCUAGAAAUUCAAAAGUUAGAGAGAUGUCAUGUCUAAACUCUCAUUCUGAAAUGUAUAUUUGCUGAAUGGAGCACAUGUGCAAGAAGAGGAGAGUUAUGUGGCGACGAUAGUGAAACCUUAGCAUGAAGAUCAUAUUUGCAUUGGAAAAGAAAAGAAGAAAAUUACACAACAUAAAUCGAAAUAUAAAAAAAUACCAUUUUGUCUUUUAUAUUACUGUUUAUAGGACUACUCCUCUCCAUUAUAUAUGUUGUUGGUAGAGAGUAACAAAGCAAUCGUUUUAGGGAAGAAGAAUCUAUGCUUUAUGUAUUGUGGAGGUAUACGAAAAAGAAAGAUCAAGAGUCACAAAAACUAAUCAAGAGUAGUGGAAGAGUUUUGCAACGUUAAUACAAUAAUUAUUAGUAUAUUAUUGUUGUGAUAUUUAGUUGAAAAAAGGAUGAAUAAACACUUCAAAUUUGGAGUAACGGUUCUCUAUUAGCACAUCACAUUUUGAAUUUCAAUAAGGUGUAAAUCUUAUAUAAUUUUUAAAAGAAUAAUUUAAUUUACUUCUAUACAUAUUUAUCAUUUAUUGGAAUGUAAAUUUAAUUUUUGAUACAAAAUUAUUAUAGGAUAUGUAGUGUUUAUAGGAAGGGUAAAUUGGUCUUUCAGUUUUUAAAGGGCAAUUUAGUAAAACUUUACCUAAAAGUGUUCAUGCUUAUAAUAUAGUAUGAUAAAAGAGCCGACCAUUUAUUAUUUUGUAACAAUACUGUUUUUUUUCUUGGUCACCUAAUAGUGUAUUAUGUAGUUCAUUAUAAAAACAAUAAUUUUGUAACAAACUUAUUUUUGUUCAGGACAAUGGUUUGUGAUAAUAUAAUGAAUGUUAUUGAUGAAGGUACUGUUGGAUAUUUGUAAUAGUUUUUAGAAAUUGUGGGUAUAAAUUAUGUAUCAUGUUUUUAAAAAAAAAGUGAAAUAUAUUUUGGCAACUCAUGUCUAAACACCUUUUCAUUUUCAAACUAAGUUUCACUCAAAUCAGAUUUUUCAAAACAAAUUUAAAAAUUUAUGGCUAAACGCUAGUGUCGUCAUGGAUUAAACAGACCGAAAUAUCAAAAUAGAACAAGUAAAGAUAUCAAUUAGGCUAUUUUGCCUUAAUUUUUAAAACUUAUUUGUGUUUAAGAAAUAAUAAAGCAAUAAAUAAAAUAGAAGGAACGUAUGGAGAAGAAUAAAAAAUAUAAUGAUAGAAAUGAAGACACCAGAAUAAUGCCAAACUGUUUACCUUGAAAAUGGUAUUGACAAUUAUAUUUAAUUUUGUGGUUCUAAAAAUAUAUGAUUUAUUUCAACACUAGUUGUUAGGCAAUGGAUGCUAAAUAUAGGUAAAGAGAAUAAGAUAUGCAAACUAAUGUUGAUGAAGGACCGGGGUCUCGAACUCAAUGGUAUCAGGGACCUCGGGUCCAAUAAUAGCAAUAAAUGAAGAACAAUAAAUGAAGAAUAAUUAAUGAAUGAAAAAUAAUAAAGCUGGAAGACAGUAUUAAGCGUGAGAAAAACAAAAAAUAUUCUAUUCUGGUAAAAAUAUUGUGUAUUACAAAAUGACAAGGAUCUCCUUUAUAUAGGAGGGGGAAUCCCAACAUAGUACAUACUAUCUAAUAAUGACAAGGAAAGGCUAUUGGUACAGUUUUAUAGUAGCUCAGUACGGAUUUGUACUAUUUUUUGCAAGACUCGUGUCAGUUCUAAUCGCGUGCCCUCGGGAAUUUUUCACCUUUCCAUGACGGUCGUCGAUUUUCAUACUGCCUCGAGGUACACCGUGAUGAGUCUUCGGUAUACUCUAUCGAGGUGAGUGCUAUGGGGACGAGCCUUAGAUUGUUCUUCGAUCCCAUCAAGGUCGGGCUUGAAAACGCCAUAGAAAUCUUGAAAUUAGCCUUCCCUGAUUUUGGCCGUACACAGAUACUCUCAGUGUUUUUUGGAACGAAAUAACAAGGAACGAUUUGAAUUCUUUUACCUUCAUGAUUUUGUUCUUUUAUGCUUUCAGGCUAUAGUGCUUUACAAUCAAGCCUUUGCUAAGUCCCAAGCUGAGUUGACCUACAGUGAGGAAGAGUGUAAGAGGUUCUUAUCAGAGGCUAACAAGCUCAGAGCCCUUUUUACCAAAAAGAAGGAAGAACUUCAUGAUCUCGGGCUCGUUUGGAGACAGUCUAUCGAGAGCGGACCGAUCUUGUUGAGCAUGUAAUACAGUCUUCGUAUAUUUUUAUUUUUGUGCUUCUCUGGCUUUAGAAUUCAACACCUUUGGGUUGACUUUUGCAUCUUGAGAAGAAAGAUGUCCUGAUGAGGGAGGGGCUCAGAGCUAGAGAUAUUGAGAUUCUCAGACUCAAGCAGCAUGUGGACGAGAUAGCCUCCGAGAGAGAUACCCUCCAAGGGAAGUUGACCUCAGUUGAGCAUCAUCUUCAGGAUGUAAGGGCGGAUAGUAGUAAGUAUAAAGACGUCCAUGUUGAAUCGGCCGACGCGCUAUCUGUAGCCAAGUCCGAAGCCGAUGCACUCAUAUCCUUACAUCGAGAAGAUGUUGCUGCAGCAAAUGCCCAAGCCAAGAAGGUAUCUGAAGAGGCCAAGCUUGAACUGAACUGAGCCCUGGAGCAUGCCCGAUUAAGAUCUCGGAGACAGGCACUCGAGGAUGUAUAUGUAAGGGGCAUCGAUUUAUCUGUUGAGAUCGAGAGGGUGAAGGCCCUAGAGGAAGAAUUAGCAGCUCUUUUUUAUUUCGAUGAUGGUUCAGCCAGUGACUCGGGGGGAUGAUGAAGAUGAAGGUGAAUUCCACGAGGGGUAGAAGUUCGUUGAUGCUCCGGGGGUCGAGGACCAAGCCGUUGAAGGCACAACUUCCGAGGGAGCUCCUUCCGGUCAAGUGACCCUGGCGGUUGAUUAGGUUUUUAUUGUUAGUUUUUGUGUAAGGGCUCCAGGCGUGAGCCUUGCAAAUGUGUCUUUGUGAACCUUUAUUAUAUAAAUAAGGAUCUUUCCUUUUCGUCAUUUUUUGUCUUCCGUUUGCCUUUUUGGGAUAAACUUUGAUGCUUGUCGAUAACCAGUCCGAUGUGUCAAACUUAUAAUAUAAACCCCUUAGAUUUUCAUGCUUUAUGAAUGAUCGAUUAUAAUUUACCGUUAAAUUUUGACUCGGGGCUAUCGACCCUCAAGUUUUUAACACCUUGGCCCUUAGGCUCUUUAGAUCGACCAUUAAGCUCUUUACGCUGGCCCUUAGGCUCUUUAGGCUGGCUCUUAGGCUCUUUAGGCUGGCCCUUAGGCUCUUUAGGCUGGCCCUUAUGCUCUUACGCAUUAUCCCUUAGGAUCUUUAGGCUGGCCCUUAGGCUCUUACACACUGGCCCUUAGGCUCUUUUUAGAUUGAGUCGGUGCGACCUCUAAUAUGGCUAUAGAUUUCCCUAAUUUUGGCUAAAGGCUUUUGAAGUUUUGAUUAUGUCUUGGCAUGUUUUAUAAUCAUCUAACUCUUCGACGGCUUAAAUGAGAACCUCGAUUAUGAGUCGAAUAUGUGAUGAUAGAUGAGUACCUCGGGAGGUUUGCUUAAAGGCUGAGUUUUCGAAAACUUUUCAUCGGACGCUGAUUAUUUUCGAAGCCUUUUUAUUAUUCGGAGCUAAUAUUAUCAAAGCUCUUUUGCUUAUGCCAAGGGUAGCCUGAUUAACCGGUUCUUUUCGAAGUAUUCUCGAAGUAUUUGAAGGCCUUAAGUUUUAUGGCUGCAGUCGGAUGUCUCCGAACCGUAUUAAUUUGGUCGUAGCCUUUUAGUUCGACGGUGGUCUUUAUGUUUGGUCAUAGCCUUUAAUCCCCGGGUGCGAUGAUCUUGGCGUCCAUAUCGAGGGUAUGGCUUAUAGGGGUAUUACAAGUUCGAAUAUAUAGCCUUGGCCUUAAUAUCGGUGUUAUGUCUUUUUAAGGUCUUACAAAUUUGAAUAUGCCUCGUUGAGGUCUUAUAAGCUCGAUAUUGCCUCAUUGAGGUCUUAUAAGUUUGGGCAUGCCUCAUUGAGGUCUUACAGAUUCGAUGUUGUCCCACUGUGGUCUUACUAAUUUGAGUUUUUGAUGGCUUCGAUGAGCUGUCUGUCGAUGACAGACCCCGAGUGUUCGAUGAUUGUGGACUCGGCCUAUCCAUUUGCACAUGGGUGGUAGGGCGCUGAUAGGAUCAUUUUGAUUUUAUGAUUUUCAAGGAAUUUUUUCACCUUGCUGCCUAUGAACUGCUUCCCAUUAUCAUAUGUAGUCUCGGAUGGGAUCCCGAAUCUGUAUAUGAUGUGGUCCCAGAUGAAGUCAAUGACUUUUUUUCUCGUUUCUUCUCGAAGGAAUGUGCCUCCACCCAUUUCAAGAAAUAGUCAGUCUUAAACAGAAUAAAUAUAGCUUUACUUGGCGCCGUUGGUAGGGGGCCAACGGUGUCCAUCCCCCAUUUCAUGAACGGCCAUGGUGAUAAGAUUGAAUGUAGUUAUUCACUAGGCUGGUGAAUCAUUGGUGUGAACCUUUGGCAUUUGCCACACUUUCAAAUGAAUUCAUUGGCGUCCUUCUCCACGCUGUCCAAAUAAUAGGCUACUCUGAUCCCCUUUCUAACUAAAGAAUCGGUGCCAGAAUUAUUUCCACAAGUGCCCUCAUGGAUUUCUCAAAGUACAUAAUCGGUGUCCCCCGGUCCCAAGCAUACUGCUAGAGGUCUGUCGAAGGUCCUCCUAUAUAAUGUUCCAUUUUCAUCGAGCGAAAAUCGAGUCUCUUUGGCCUGAAAGGCCCUCGAUUCUUUUUGAGUUGCGGGCAGCUUCCGUUUCUCAAAUAAUCGAUAUUUUAUUCCUCCAAUCCCAUGUUAGACUUGUUAAGUUGAUCACGGCAUGGCUUUCUUUGAUCACCGACUUAGAUAACUCUACAACAGCCCCCGGAAGUAUGUCAUCUUCUUUGAUGGACGACCCCAGGUUUGUAAGUGCAUCUGCCUCGUUGUUCUGAUAUCGAGAAUGUGGACCAGAGUCCAUUCUUUGAAGCGAUGCAAUAUAGCCUAAAGUUUGUCUAAGUAUCUUUGCGUCCUGUCUUGUCGAUCCUCGAAGCUCCCAUUUACUUGGGUUGACUACCAGAAGGGAGUCGCAUUUUGCUUCGACGACUUCUGCUCCUAGGCUUCUGGCCAGCUCGAGACCUGCAAAGAUGGCUUCAUACUCAGCCUUGCUGUAAGUGAAUUUCAAAGUUUUUAUAUAUUGUCUAAUCAUGCCGCCCGUAGGCGGCUUUAGAAUGAUGUCGAGUUCAGACCCUUUCAUAUUCGAAGCACCAUCGGUGAAUAGGGUCUAUACACCCGAUGAUGUGCCCAUUUUAGCAAGAGUUCUUUAUCUACCUCGGGCACGAGGGCAGGUGUAAAGUCGUUCACGAAGUUCACCAAAAUUUAUGACUGAUAUCCCCCCGGCGUUGGUACUCAAUAUCAUACCCUCCAAGCUCGAUGGCCCAUUUGGCCAAUCUGCCCAACAAAUUCGGGUUUGUGCAAGAUGUUUCGAAGAGGGUAUGGUGUUAAAACACAUAUACGAUGGCAUUGAAAAUAAGGUUUCAAUUUCCGAGAUGCACUUAUUAAUGCAAGAGCUAAUUUUUUUAAGCAUGGAUACCGGGUUUCAGCAUCUCCUAGAGUUCGACUUACGUAAUAAAUAGGGAAUUGCAUACCUUAAUCUUCUCGAACCAUCAUACCACUUACCGCUACUUCAAACACGACCAUAUACAAGUAUAUCAUUUUAUCUUCCUUCGGGGUGUGGAGAAAAGGCAGGCUCGAGAGAUACCGCUUUAAUUCCUCUAAAGCAUGCUCGCAUUCCGGAGUCCACUCAAAGUAGUUUUUCUUCUUGAGCAAGAAGAAGAAAUGAUGACUCUGAUCUAAUAAUCUCGAGAUGAAUUGACCUAAGGCCGCUAUUAGCCAGUCAGCCGUUGUACGACCUUCACAUUGUCACCGCUAUGAUUUCUUCAAUGGCCUUGAUUUUGUCGGGGUUGAUCUCGAUCCCCCUAUUCGAUACCAUGAAACCUAAAAGUUUGCCCGAUCCUACUUCGAAGGCACAUUUCUUGGGGUUGAGCUUCAUGUUGGCCUCGAUCUACUCCUCGAUUAUUUUGAGGUAUAUUCCGCCUCGAAGUGUCUCUUUGAUCUUUGAACUAUGGCUGAUACUUUCUUUGCAUGAUCUCUACUCUCUUUUUGUAGACCUUGGUUCCUUUUUAAAGAGUCUGCUAGGAUAUACUGAGCUCGAGGGGGCUCCUAAUUGGUCGUCUUCGACCCUGAUCUUCGAUUGAUACCUGUUGUGCACAUCCGCCCAGGUCAUGGUGGGAUAUUUGAGCUAUCGAGCUUCAUUCAUUCAAGCCCUAAGUGAAGGCCUGCACUGCCCAGUCAUCGGAGACUGAUGGUAAUUCCAUUCGCUCCAUCUAGAAACGAGAUAAAAAUUCCCCUCAGCAUCUCAUUCCCCUUUGUUUGAUCUUGAAGACGUCGGACUUCCUUGUAGAAACCUUGAUGGCACCCGUAUGUGCCAUCACAAAAGAAUCUGCCAACAUGGCAAACGAAUCCAUCAAGUUCGGGGAUAGGUUUUGAUACCACAUCAUGUCCCCCUUCGACAGUAUUUCUCCGAAUUUCUUCAGCAAGACGGAUUCAAUCUCGGCAUCCUUUAAGUCAUUCCCUUUUACAUCACAAGUAUAAGCGGUAACGUGCUCAUUGGGGUCUGUGGUCCCAUUAUACUUCGGGAUAAAGGCAUUCUUAAUUUCUUCGGGAUGUGCUUCAGAACGGCACUUUAUGGGAAUAGUUUCUGCACGAACUUCUUUGAAUCUACAUCCUUCAGAAUUGGGGGUGCGCCAGGUUCUGAUCGACCCUCGAGUUAUAAGUCUCCACCUUUUUAUCGUUAGCCUCUAUAUUUUUUCUCCUAAAUUGAUUCUUUUAGUCAAUUUCUUGAGCAUUUUCAUUAUUGUGGGGUCAAUCUCCGAGCCUCUUUUAUCGGGUCUUUCUAGCAUCGAUUCGCGCUGCAUGUUUACUGGUUCGACGGUGUUAGGGGUUCUGUUCUGACUUUGAAGUUGAGCGAUGGCAACUUGCUGAGCUUGCAGCAUCUCGAAUAUUACUUGGAGGCUGACUCCUCCUUCUUCCAUUCCUCGUGCUUCUUGCCCCCAGCCUGAGCUUGCCUACGUUCGUUCCUUACGGGGUUUGUACCUACUUCAGUGUUUAGAGCGUUGUGGGAGCUGAUAUCAACUGGCUCCAUGUUUGGCACUCACUCAUGGUUUUUCAUGCGGUAUACCGAGCCCUAUGCCGCUAUUUUCUCUAAGUCCUUCACUGUCAUGAGCAGGUGCAUUUUGUGUGCUAGACAUAUUUUUGCCUGAAACCAAAAAUUCUUCAACAAGAAAAAGUGUGAAGAAUAACGUGUGUUAUCAGAAAACUAGCACCAAAACAAUCACUGUUAUUUUUAGUCCUACGAUGGGUGCCAAACUGUUUACAUUGACAAUUAUAUUUGAUUUUGUAGUAAAUAUAUGAUUUAUUUCAACACUAGUUGUUAUGCAAUAGAUGCUAAGUGUAUGAAAAGAGAAUAAGAUAUGCAAACCAAUGUUGAAGAAGAACUGGGGUCUCGAACUCAAUGGAAUCAAGGACAAAUGAAGAAUAAUGAAUGAAUGAAAAAUAAUAAAGCUGAAAGAAAGUAUUAAGCAUGGGAAAAGCAAAAAAUGUUCUAUUGUGGUAAAAAUAUUGUGUGUUACAAAAUGACAAGGUUCUCUUUAUAUAGGAGGGGGAAUUCCAAUAUAGUACAUAUCUAAUAAUGACGAGGAAAGACUAUUGGUACAGCUUUAUAGUAGCUCAGUACAAAUUUGUGCUAUUUCUUGCAGACUCUGUCAGUUCUAAUCACGUGCCCUCGGGAAUUUUCCGACUUUCCAUGACGAUCGUCGAUUUUCAUGCUGUCUCGAGGUACGCCGUGAGUUUUCGAUAUACCCUAUCGAGACGAGUGUUAAGAGGACGAGCCUUAGAUUGCGCUUUGAACCCAUCGAGGUCGGGCUUAAAACGCCGCAAAAAUCUUGAAACCGGCCUUCCUUGAUUUCGAUCGUGUAUAUAUAUAUAUAUAUAUAUAUAUAUAGCAUCGGUUCCACAAUUGGCAAUCAUUAAAAAUCUUUGAAGCUUUGAAUUCGAAUUUAGAUUAUCAAAAAAUAUUAUUUGUUUGAAUUGGGUGUUGUUACAAACUAUUUGAAAAUUCUCUCUACGACUCUCUCUAUCUCUUUAUCCCUAAUUCCAGUAUGUAAAGCAAAGGAAAGAGAGCCGCAAUUCUACAAUCGAUAGCUAUUAAAAAAGCUUUAAAGCUUUGAAUUCGAAUUUGAGGUUUUGAAAUCAUUAUUUGUUUGGAUUGAGUGUUGUUGUAAACAAUUGGGAAUAUAAUUUAGCGUUUAUAUCUCAAUUUUGAGGGUAUUUUGGUGAUGAUUAUACUUGAUUUUGGUUGAAUUUCAGAAUGAAACUCGUCGAAGAAGAAGACAUGCCAUAUAUUAUACUUACGAAAUUGUAGUAAAAUUAUAGAAUAUAUAUAUAUAUAUAUAUAUAUAUAUAUAUAUGAAAGUUAAAACCAUUUUGAUUGUUUUUCUUACACGAAUGAAUAUAUCAUCAAACCAGAAAAAUGAACUAACAUGAUCCACUUUAUUAUGAAUAUUUUGAGUGAAUUUAAUUUGACGGAAGUUAUUUUUUCCCAUAAAAAUGUAUUUUCCUGAAAAACUCUUUUCUUGGUAUUUGAUUGUUGAGUGAAAUAUUUUACUUAAUACUAAAAUUAAAAAAAUCAAUAAUAAUAUCAACACACCGAAAAGUAUUAUAAGUAACACUUUUGAGUUCUAAAGAUUAAUAAUAAUGUAUAAGUGUUCCUUCGAGUAAAUAAUGUAUAGUUAGCGUUUAAAUAUAUAGUUAUUGGUAAAUAAUGUCCUAUGGUCAAGUCCCUCUUAAAUGACAAUUAUGGGGGCCAUUGAAGAAUGUGUAAUGGUAGGCUAGGAAUACCAUAUUUUUGGUAACAGACUAUAUACAUAAUGCUAUAGAAUAUUCUCUAUUGCAUGUUAUCAGGUGGCACACAUUUAUUUGUCUUUAUGAGCAACACUCCCUUCGGGGACAAGUGAGAUUGUUGUCCCUGGGCUUCAUUUCCAUUUGCAUCGAUUUUCAUUUGUCUCCGGCUCCACGUAUCGCUUUAUUAUGCGAUCAUUUAAUAUGAACAUAUUUUAACUUAUACAUACACACACACAUACACACAAAUAUAUAUAUAUAUAUAUAUAUAUAUAACUAAGGAGCGUUUAGUACAAGUUUAUCAUAAGAUGUGUCACGAGGGACACAUUGAUUCCUUAAGCUUGCUAUCAGUUGGCAAGCAUCAAAUGAUAAUAGUUUUUCAUGAGUAGUAAUUUCAAGUCUUUCACUAUCCACAAAAUGUAUUACAUCACUCGGAGGUCUAACAAAAACUUUUUUUACUGAUCUUCUGGGCAUUACUUCUUCCAGCUGCUCCAAAAACUUGACUAUCCAUAUCCAUGUACUUUUUUGCUAGUUGAUGAGCAGUCCUAUUCCCCUGCCGGAAGGUGUGCUGGAGGAUAACUUUCUGCUGGUGAAUUAACCACCUGCAAUCAUUAACAACCUUGUUAAAUAAAUUUUUACCUUUAUAUAUUGCCUGGAUUACCUCUGAGCAGUCCGUCUCUAUUUCAAGUGGGGAAAAUUUCUACUCCUUUGCUGUUCUGAGACCUUCUCUUAAGGCUUUCAAUUCCGCUGCUAGUGAAUCAUUUGCAUGAGUUAACUUUGUAAAACCAAUGAUCCAAUUACUAUUGGAAUUUAUGAAAAAUCACCUAAGCCACAAUUUUGAUUAUAGUUAUUGAAACUGACAUCAAAAUUUACUUUAAGCCAACCCCUUAGAGGUUUGUGCUAAUUGAUUUUAAUGAGUAAAUUGGGAGAGAGUAUAGAAAUUUUUCUUGUGAGUAAUUUGAAUUCCAUAGCCCGCGGCAUGAUAAGAGAACCAUUGAUCGGGUUGGUAGUGUUAUUAUGGUUAUUGUUUUUUCUAUUAAUCCAAAUGUGCCAAAUGAUAAAGGGAAAAUAAGAGUUCCAGUUUAAAAAGCGUUAUUAAGAGGAUAGUUAAGGUCUCUUACUUGGAUAAGCCAGUGUUUGCCAUUUUGGCUAUUAUGGUAUUGCCAUCGAAGGCAAGCCUAAAAUUGGUUGAUGGCUUUGCAUUCUAGGAAAAUAUGCUUUAUGGAUUAUUCUUCAGGACUUUUACAGAUGGGACAAAAAGGGUCAAUAUUUAGUCCAAUAUGUGAAAGGUAUUUCCUACAAGGGAUUCAAUUAUAUAAUCAUUGCCAUAGAAAAUAUUUUAUUUUAUUGGAGCAAUCUAGUUUCCAAAUCCAGUCAAAUUCUAAGUCAAUAUUUUUAGGUGUUUCUAGAAGCAUAUAACAUGACAUAGUAGUGAACACCCCUAGAUGGGGGACCAAAUAGGUAAAUUAUUAGAGGGGCCCUUGAGACGAAUUUCUGUUUGAGAUAUUUGCUAGUAGUCGCGGAAGAAGAGGAAAGGAUAGGCUGUCCAAAUUCCAAUUGCAACCAUCAAAGAUAUCUCUAAUUUUUGUUAAUGUAUCCCUAGUGGAGGGUGUGCCUAUCCCAUUUUUUCUUAGGUCACCAAAUUUGGGGAUCCAAUUAAUUUCCCAGAUAUUAAGAUUAGAGUGAAGGUGAGGGGACCAUAUAAUACCUUUGGAGCAAAUUUUCCAACCUUUGCAAAUACUUUUCCAAACGAAGGAAGGCAUAUUCAUUAUGAGACUAGUUCAAUAGCAAGAGAUGAUAAACUUGGCCCAAGGAAUCGUGGCAUUGGUAAGAAGUCUCUAACUUAGGCUAACUAGAGUACACAUAUUUUUAUUAAGAGCAUUGUGGAUACCUAAGCCACCAUUGGGUUUAGGUUAGCAAAGGGUAGACCAAUUGACUAGGUGAAUUUUUUUAUUCCUGUUGAGCUAACCUCCUCUCCAACUCAUGUGCUUUCUCCUUAGUCAAAGCACCCCAUCUAAUUUGCGAUUGUCCCCGAGCACCCCUCCUCUUCCUCUUCACCCAGAGACCGACAUUCAUCACUAGGAGUCUAUGAAGAGUCGAAAGGGAUUCUCCCGGAAUAACCUUGCAGUCCUUGCACAUACCCUCAACUACCCAAUUCAUGAUAUGUGCCGUUGGCUCAACAAUUAUACCUUUCUAUUGGAAUACCAAGCCUAGAUAUCUCAAUUAUUUGCAUUUAGAGAUUGGUCAAAUCCACCAAUGCUUCGUUUCCCCAUGAAAAAAAGUGCAAUAGAGCUCAAUGACUUUAGAUCAAUAAGUCUCAUUGGAAGUAUGUCUAAAAUAGUGGCUAAACUUUUAGCAGAAAGGAUAAAGACUGUGGCGAGGAAGCCUAUCUUGGAGGAAAUAACCAAUAACUAACUUCUCAGAUUGGAGAAUACUACUCACCAGAUCAUCCAAGCCCUCCCAAAAGCGCCUCUUAACCUCCUCGUCUAAGCCCGCUUGUGGCGCGUAAGCGCGGAUGACGUUGAGGAUGCAACCUCCAAUAACCAACUUAAUAGAUACUAACCUAUCAUUCACUCGCCUAACCUCGACCACAGACUCCCUUAGAUCCCUAUCUACCAAGAUGCUACGACUCAAAACAAUGGAAACAGAAAACACAUUAAAUCCUCAACUGAAGAUUAGAAUAUGCAUAAAUACAAAGAAAUUAAAAGAUAGAACAGAGCCCUUUAGCAAACUAUUAUAGCCACCUCUUAUUUCAUAUAAAUUAUUAAUUCUUUGCUUACACCAAACAUCAAAUCCAUUGUAAAGAGAAAAGAAUUUCAAAAAUGAAAAGUCAUUACAUUUUAUUACACUAAACAAAAGGAGAACGUCAGUAAAUAUUGAAGUGCUCUUAAGAUUUAGUUAUACUACUUAUACUACAAAGUAUCCUAUUAUAUUCGAUUAUGGAAUAUGGAGUUAAAUAUACUUGUGGAGUAGAGUAGCAUGAAGUGAGGGAAAUUCUUUAAAAUGUGCAUAGAGAGAUGAGUCCUAUCGGAGAAAUCACUGUAACUAGACACCACACCAGAAGAGUUCCAGUUAGUUUUUUUCCUUGUUAAUAAAAAAAGCCCAGAAUUGUAUUAACAUAUACAUUUGCUCUUUAUAUUGAUUAAGACUUAGUUAAAAAUUGUGAUCAACUUUCCACACUUUUUCUUUAAUUAUUUUUGGGAUUAAAUAUAAUAUGAAUGUUGAAUAUACUAACAGUAAAAUAGUGCGCAGGAAAAGAAAACACAAUUUUCAAACAAUUAACAUGUCUGUUAAACAACUAAUUAGUGAUAGGACCUGUUAACGACAACACAAAGUUUGUCUGUGAAAAUGGCAUAGAGAAUAAACCUGGUAUUAUCUGUCCUGAAAUAUACGUUACUUGUGUUCACAUCGAAUGUUUCCUUCAUCUGGAUGACAUUUACUUGUAUACAUAUAUAGGUUUGAUAUAUCUAAGAGGAAAAGUAAUUCAAUCAUACCAAAAUACCAAUCACAUCUGUCUUUUAUCAAUUUGUCAACGUUACACUUUUUCUUCUCUUAUUGAGAGAUUGACACUUCAAGAUUAGACGUGAUGAUAUUACUAAUGAACACUCAUUUAACAGGAAAGAAGAAAAAUAAUAUACCUUUUUAUGAUAAAAUGGAGAAGUAAAUUGAUAAUUGACGACAAAGAUAAUCAGUAAUAUGCUAGCAAUUUAUUGAAGAUGUUGUACAAAUACUUUAAGUAAUCUAUCCCAGUGUUUUACAAAUCUGAAAUAAACUAAAAAGCAUUAUAAGAUCAUGAAAGAGAACCAAAAACCAAGAAACGUUGAAUCAGAUGGCACAUUUGUUUUUUGGUGUUGGGUUUUGAGGGAGGGGGGGGGGGGGUUANNNNNNNNNNNNNNNNNNNNNNNNNNNNNNNNNNNNNNNNNNNNNNNNNNNNNNNNNNNNNNNNNNNNNNNNNNNNNNNNNNNNNNNNNNGGGGGGGGGGGGGGGGUGUUAACCGUUGUUGGUAAAAGAAGAUGAAGAGUGGAAGUCCAAAUAAGGGAAUUAAAGUCUAAGACAUGUCUAUUCAGUAGCAUUGUCCCUCAAUAUAUAUAUAUAUAGAGAGAGACAAAUGGCCAUUGCAAGCCUCCAAUUAAGGGCACAUUCUGCUUAACAAAUUAUAGAAAGAAGUGGAAAAUUUGGAGAAAAUAAAGAAAAAGAAGACAAGAAUAUGCACCAAUGCAGCCUUUAUGCGUAUGCAAUGCAUCCUCUUGUUAGAGGCUUUAUUUGUGCACGAUUUCCUUUCUUUCUCAGAAGAGUUAGGGAAUGAAAUAAAUUCCGAGUUUAUCAACCAAAAAAAGGCAAAGAAAGUUGCAGAGUUAUUUCCUCUAAAUCCAAAGUCAACAGAAAUGGUUAAUCAUACUCUAGCAGCAUUAUGGGAAAUAUAACACAUGGGUUCUCUAUAAUACCUCUGCUUUGAUUCCACUGAAAUAUCUUCACUAACAUAUAUAUAGUACUAAAAAACUCAAUCACCUAAUCUUAUUCUGGUUUCUCUCUUGCAUCUUCAGUUUCAUAAACCUCAAAAAUGCUUUGACUUGGUUUGCUUAGGGUCUAGUGUGCGUCUUUCUGUAAAAAUGUUGGGUUUCGAUGGUCCUGUCUCUUCAUGAACCGUGAGAAUGGCAUCUGCAAUAAGAAGUUUUGUUUCGUCGAUCAGAUGAAAAGAUACCAGACAGAUUCAAAAAAUUUGCACCCUUUUACUGACAUUUUGCGUUCUUAUUUCAUACCUUCAGACAAGCCAUUCUUGGCUAACGAUUCAAUAUGUUUUGGGCAUUUCCUCUUCCGCUUUAGGUCCACAAGCAUCAGCAAUAGGCUCACUGUCGAGAGAAUGAACUUUUCCUUUCUACAAAGAUAAAAGAUGGCUAAAUUAGUAGUAGUAAACACAAUGCAGAAUCAGGCUCGAGCAUAGCAAGACAGCUCGUGCUCUAAUUUCUCGUGAGCUCAUCAAUAAAUAUGAGGAAAUUCACCAUACCACAACAAACGACUACUACUACUAUUACGCCUCAAUAGUGUCGUUUGGUUGGAUGCAUUGGGGAAAUAAUAUAAGUAUUAGUUUUGGUAUUAUUAAUUCCUUGCUUGGUAGUAUUUUUCAACCUAUGUAUGGUCGUUUGGUAGGGUGUAUAAGAAUAGUACGGAAUUAGUAAUGCAGGGAUUAGUAAUGCAUGGGUUAGUAAUACAAGCAUUAGUUAUGCAGAUAUUACUUCUUAUCUACUGUUUGGUGUAGUGUAUUAAAAAUUAUAAUGCACUGCAUAAUUUUUAAGAAAACUAGUUGUUUACAAAAAUGUCCUCCAUAAUUUCUAACUUAAAGGGACUUAAAGGAUAAUUUUGUCUUUAACCAUACCAAUGCAUGCAUUAAUAGCCUUGUUAUUACUAACUUUAUGAUUUUCUAUGCAUUACUUAUACAUAGGAUAAUACCAAGUAUGAUAUAUAUCUAAUUUAAUUAUUAGUUAACACAUAUUGAAAAAGUAUACUAACCAAAGUAUUAUUAAUGCACAGAGCUUAUGCUUGCAUUAUUUUUUUAAUAUCCCCUACCAAACGACCCCUUCAGUACUAUUCUUAUACAUAGUAAACCAUUGGCAUUAGCAAUACCAUGGUUUUUAGUACAUAAUCAAUAAGCAUGCAUAAAGGUAGAACUGCCAUUUCAAAACCUUUUCCAAAUUCUUUCUAAAGAACGUGGAGGGUAUUUUUGUAAACAAAUAAUUUUUAAAAAAAAUUAUGCAAUACAUGUUAUUUUUAAUACACCGAACCAAAGAUAAGAAAAUAUCUCAUGCAUAACAACAACAACAAUAAUAUACCCAGUGGUUUCCCCCAAUCGUGAUAUGGGGAGGGUAGUGUACGCAGACCUUGCCCUACCUUGGGAAAGUAAAGAGGCUGUUUCCGGUAGACCCUCGGUUAAAGAUAAUAAGAAACAAAACAAUAAUAGCAAGUAGUAAUAGCAAUAAGAUAUUAAAAAAACACACGCGAAAGAUACAAUCAAACAGUAAGUACUAACAACAAUUCAAGAAUCAAAGUAUACCAUACUAAUACUAAUACUACCGGCAAGGGGGCGAAAAGGGAGAACUGCUCGACCGCCUACUAACCAUCAUAAUCUUUGACCUCCACACCCUUCUAUCAAGGAUUAUUGAAUACACCCAUUCAGUACUAUUCUUAUACACCCUACCGAAAACGACCCCUUAGUAUGGUAAUUUCAAAGGAGGAUACUAGCUAUUUCGAGAUAUAGGCGACGGAUACUGAUGUUUAUACUGAUUACAACAACAAUCCAGUAGAAUCUCAAAAGUGAGAUUUGGGGAGGGUAAUAUGUA
rnacentral:lncRNA from 1 species